rnacentral:rRNA from 1 species
UACGGAGGGGACUAGCGUUGUUCGGAAUUACUGGGCGUAAAGCGCACGUAGGCGGAUUGUUUAGUCAGGGGUGAAAUCCCGAGGCUCAACCUCGGAACUGCCUUUGAUACUGGCAAUCUCGAGUCCGGAAGAGGUGAGUGGAACUGCGAGUGUAGAGGUGAAAUUCGUAGAUAUUCGCAAGAACACCAGUGGCGAAGGCGGCUCACUGGCCCGGUACUGACGCUGAGGUGCGAAAGCGUGGGGAGCAAACAGG